rnacentral:lncRNA from 1 species
UUCAACAACCCUUCAUGCUAAAAACUCUCAAUAAAUUAGGUAUUGAUGGGACGUAUUUCAAAAUAAUAAGAGGAAACACUUUUCAACAUGUUUUAUGAGUCUACCGUUAUCCCCAUACCAAAACCAUAAAACAGACAUUACAAGAAAAUGUCCUGUAGACAAAUAUGUAUUUUGAUGAUGAAUUUAGAUUUCAAAAACUUCAGCAAAAUAUUAUCCAAUUAAAUCCUCUCAUGUCUGUGUGUGUGUGUGUGUGCAUGCACGUGUGUUUGUAAAAUAUAUCAUUACUAAUUGGCGUUUAUCUUGGGAGUUCAAGAUGGUUUCCAUAUUCAAUCAACCCAUCAAUGUGGACUAUGGUCACUUGAAAAGACCAGCAAAUCCUCUGCACAAAAGGCCACUAGAAAUUCAUUAAAGCAGCCUUCCAUCAUUCUCGAAAUUGACCAAAGCAUUCAACUACCUGAGAAAUAUUUAUGUUUGGAAAGCUAUUGAAAUGCAAUUAAAAAUAUCAGGAAACCUGUUUUUACCUUUUGUCCUAAUCUUGCUAAAUCCUUCUUAAUUUUAGGAGACACUGCUUCUCCUUCCACUGUUCUUUUACUUUCUCCUUCCCCUUUGUUUUUGCCUCCCCCUUCCUCUCCCUUUUCUACAUUCCUUCUCUCUCCUAAAUGCUGUAUAAAUUUCUACAUAUGUAAUCAUAUUAUUUACAAAUAGGAACAGUUUUACUUAUUUCUUUCCAGUCUGCAUUUAUUUUAUUCUUCCUUUUUUUCCUUACACACUGGAUAGAACUCUAAGUAUUAUGUUGAAAAAGAGUGAUAAAAGCAAACAUCUUUGCUUUAUUCCUGAGCAUACAUGUGGAAAACAUUCAGUGUUUCACAGCUAAAUAUGAUGGAUUUUUUGUAUGCUCUUUAUCAAGAUGAAGGAAUUUUCUGCUAUUUCUGGUUUGCUGAAUUUUUAUCACAAGUAACUGUUGAAUAGUGUCUUUUUCCCCUGCAUUUAUUGAACUGAUCAUGCAUUCUCCUAUUUUAGAAUAUUAAUAUGAUGAACUAUAUUAUUAGAUUUUUUAAAAUAUUGCAACUGUCUUGCAUUUCUGGAAUAAACAUGGCUUGGUCAUGUGUCACUUUUUUACAUAGUGUCGUAUUCAAGUUGUCGAGGAUUUUGCAUCUAGGGUAUAUUUGUAGAUUUGCAUCUAGGUUAUGUUGGUCUAAAGUUUUGUUUGUUUGUUUUCCUUUUCUUUUUUUUUAUCAUCUUUGUCUUCUUCUGUUUAAGUGUCAUGCUUGCUUCAUAAAAUGAAUUGAGAAGCAUUUCUUCCUCUUCUGUUUCUCGAAAAUUGUAGAGAACUCUUGUUUUUUGUUGUUGUUUGUUUGUUGUUUUGUUUUUUCUUAUUUUUAUCCUCAUACUGAGAACCAAACAGUCUGGAGUGUAAAACAUGGUUCCUCAUUCCAGUUAAAUCUAGUAUACAAUGACAACAACCCUCUUGGGUUAAGCAUUGGCCUACAAACAGAAAAAAACCUUCAGGGAGAUAGAUGCUGAUCUAGGCAUUGUGAGAAAAGCUGAAUUCAUUUUUAAUCAUGAAUGGCUUUUAAGGAAAGAAGAUUUAUUAACUAAAAUAAAUAGAUUAGAGGGAAUUCUCACCUAUGAGAGAGGAAGGGAUGGGAUUCAACCUGGAAAAAGUAAUGAAGUUUUAGUGAACUUGGUAAGGUAGACUCAACAAUUAAUGAUGGAUAAUGCUAGGACCCAACACUGGUAAUGAGUUUGUAUUAUGACUCAAUAGCAUCACUUUAUCACUUUAACACAGAUGGAGGCCUAAAUAACCAUAGGGUAAUGGUUCUUCUUAGAUGCAGAAGGACACAUUUAUAUAAUCUUAGGGACCCCAUCUCUGAGGUCACUCAUAAUUUAUAUUAAUUCAUUGUUAUUGCCAUUGCCCCAAGAAUAGAUAAGGAUAAGACAUCCUGUAGUACAGGUAGCAGAGAUAUAAACUAUUCUUAUUCUUGUGUCUUGUCUAUAGGAAGGGAGUGUAUCCUGGUGUAAGACAGCAUAUAGUAGAGACCAUUGUCAAUUAGGGCCUGUGAACUAAGACAGGGUGACUGGCUAAGUCCACAACCCAUUAGAAACCCAGAAAUAAUCAAAUCAUGGUGAGUAGUAAUAACACUUAUUUAUAAUACUAUACGGUAUAAAGACAAGAACCAAUUAUGUUGAGUAGCUGUAACAAAUAGCUCUAUCAUUCGUAAUAACUUUUUCUGUAAUAAAACUGAAUUGUAACAUGAUCAUACUGCAAUAUGACAUUACACUAGCAUUGUUGGUAAGAUUCAACUAUCUUAUGUAGAGAAGUUAUAUAAUGCUUAUAUUGAUAAUCAAAUGUAUUAAGAUAUUGAGUUAAAGCCUCUUCAGAAUGUAAUCUGGGUGAAUAAUAAAUGGCCUGAGAAAACAGAAUUCAGCUAACCAUUAUCUAAUUUCAAUGCUAAAUAGUUCUGCACAGAUUUAUCAAAAAGUAAAAAUAAAAGCAGAUUGAGAGGAGGAAUGAAUAAUUUUGUUUGUACAAAAUAUUAAAGUGUAUGUAAUGGGCUUGUAGGAUGCAUUAGUAAUUUUUAAAAAUCAAUCUUUACCCUACACUGUGUCCAUAAAAUGCUAGGCAUAUUCAUGUUAAUAUUACUGUUGUUACUGUCAUAUAAAUGCCAUAUUCAAUGUAGAUGCUCAGAAAAAUAUGAUUGUUUUGCUACAGGAGAGAUUAGACCAGGGACAAUAAAUAUGGAUUAGGCAAGAAUGUGUUAACUCAGCAGCCCAGGGUUUUUUCAACCCUGCACAUUCAAAGGUAAGGUUUGUUUUUAGGACUAGCUAGCCUCUGAGUUCUGGAAAUAGUCUUACCGUGAAGAGUGUUUUUGUAUAUCUGAGGCCUUGGGUUUAUGGUGAAUGACUGACUUAUAUGCCUGAGGCCCUGAGCCAUGCUGUAUUUAUUUGAACCAUGUGGUAUCAAUUUAACCAGAUACGUUUAUUCUAAGAUAUGAUUUAUGCUGAAUGCCUGGUUUUGUUCUAGAGGGAUCAUGGAAAGGAAGCUGAAUUUGCCAAGUUUUGCCACUUGGGCAUUGCAUGCCUAUGUGAUUAACCACCAAUAAAAACCUGGGACAUCAAAGAAUAAAUAAGCUGCUCUAAUUGCCAAGAAUUCACAUGUGGUUGUAUGCAGCUUUACUGGGAGACUGAAGUGUAUCUGCAUGUGAUUCUGCUGUGAUGGACACUUGAUCUUGAGAUGACGUCAUACUGGAUGAUCCUAGUGCACCCUAAAUCCAAUAAGUGUUCUUAUGAAAGACAGAAGAGGAGAAGAUACAGGAAAUAGAAGAAGGCUACUUGAGGAUGGAAGCAGAGAUUGGAGUUAUGCAGCUACAAACCAAAGAAUGCCUUGAGCCACCAGCAGCUGAAAGAGCUAGUCAGCAAUACAACUGGGAUUUGAUAUCAGAUUCAUACGAUUCCGAAGACCCUGACCACCAAAUGCAAAAGGUACAUGGCAACAGCUGAUUGCAAUGAGAGAAAAACAACUAAUAAGGCAACAAGCAGGAUACUAAGAUAUUUUCCAAAAUGAAUAGCACUGAUUCUGUGAGGAAUGAACAUUGCCAAACAAGUGUUUUGUUUUGUUUUUCAACUCCUCUAAAAAAAUUCACAUAUAUGCAUGCCACUUUCCUGAAAAAUAUCUGCCUCAUAAUUGCCAUAAGAAACGGUAUGGACAACUCUUAAACAUUCUGAAAGUAGUCAGGGAUGGGGGAAAGCAUUUGCUGUUUUAGUCUGUUCCUGGUCUUAUAACAAAUACCACAAACUGGGUAAUUUAUGAUUACAGAAAUGUAUUUCUGAAAGUUCAGGAGUUGGGAAGUUCAAGAUUAUGGCACCAACAUAUUCAUUGUCUGAUGAGGGCCUGUUUCACAGAUGUCAUUUUGCAUGACUUAAUCACAUGGUAGGAAAAGCAAAGGGACAAAAUGGACAAAUGCCAUGUUGUCACAUGGCAGAAGAAAUGGAAGAGCCAGGAAGCUCUCAGAAGCUUCCUUAAUUAGGAUAUUAAUCUCAUUCAUGAGUGCAUAGCCAUCAUGACUUAAUUGCCUCCAAAGGCCCCACUUCCUCAUCACUUUGAGGAUUAAACUUAAACAUGAAUUUGGAGGAAAUAUAUCCAAACUCUAGGACUAGUUUAAAUGUAGCUAAAAAGGUUUCUUCAUUCUGUAAUCGUUAAUAUGCUAAUAUUUUUGUAAAUAUCCAAGAGGAAGCUAAAGCAUAUAAUAUUCCAAAAUUUAUUUCUGUUUGUGGAUAUUAUGUUUUCCUCUCAUUCUAUCUUAAGAAAUUAGUGUCCUCAAGAAACACUAUAUAGGAUAAUUGUCUUUCAAGUUCAUCAACUACCAGUUCUUGAUUCUUCAGUAGCUAAUCCUAGAUAGUAAUACUUAACAGAUUAUAAAAACUUGGGUGCUGCUAUAUAAAUGCGCUGAAACUCCCAGGGAACCAAACAUAAGGACUUAAAGAGAGAUGUAACUAGGGAUCAUAAUCAUGAAUUUCAGCUGCUUCUCUAUCUUUGUCAGUGAGCAAAUGACCAUACAAAAUAAGGUAUUCAAUUAUUAAUUCUGUGCCCAUAUCCCGGAAUUUUGCCCAAUAUAUUUGUAAGUUUAGAUAAAUAAGGCACUAAUGCCAGGGAUAUGUAGCAUUAGUUCUGGGUUUAUAAAGGGAUAUUCACAACCUCUUGCCAUCCACAGAAUUUAUCAGCCCAAAGUAAACUAUACUCGUUGGUUAAGGGCAACCUGAGACAUGUUUAAAACUGAGGUGGACUGAAGAGUCAACUAAUUGCAGGAAUCUUUUAUUUGGUUGAAAUGUUCAAACAAGUCCCACUCUGAAUUCUAUUAGAAGUCCAUCAUUGGCUUCUCUCUCUUUCUCACUGUCUUAAAUCAUGUAUUUUAUAACACUAUGAAGAAUGAAGUUCAAAAGAAUAAGCUAAAUUUAAUUAAUUAAAUUAUUUAUUUAUUUAUUUUGAGACAGAGUCUCACUCUGUCACCCAGGCCAGAGUUCAG